AUUGAACGCUGGCGGCAGGCCUAACACAUGCACGUCGAGCGGAGCGGCGGACGGGAGAGUAAUACCUAGGAAUCUGCCAGGUCGUGGGGGAUAACGUCCGGAAACGGAAGCAAAUACUGCAUAAUAUCAGCAGCGCCUAGGUCGGAUUAGCUAGUUGGAGUGGGAAAGGCUAACCAAGGCGACGACCCGUAACUGGUCUGAGAGGAUGAUCAGGCACACUGGAACUGAUACACGGUCCAGACUCCUACGGUAGGCAGCAGUGGGGAAUAUUGGACAAUGGGCGAAAGCCUGAUCGAGCCAUGCCGCGUGUGUGAAGAAGGUCUUCGGAUUGUAAAACUCUUUAAUUUGGGAGGCGUUACCGACAGAAUAAGCAACGGCUAACUCCGUGCCAGCAGCCGCGGUAAUUC
rnacentral:rRNA from 1 species